rnacentral:piRNA from 1 species
GUUAUGUAACAACCUGACAUGAUGG